CGCGGCCUAACAGCUUGUUGGUGGGGUGAUGGCCUACCAAGGCGACGACGGGUAGCCGGCCUGAGAGGGUGUCCGGCCACACUGGGACUGAGACACGGCCCAGACUCCUACGGGAGGCAGCAGUGGGGAAUAUUGCACAAUGGGCGGAAGCCUGAUGCAGCGACGCCGCGUGAGGGAUGACGGCCUUCGGGUUGUAAACCUCUUUCACCAAGGACGAAGCGGGAGUGACGCUACUUGGGAAGAAGCACCGGCUAACUACGUGCCAGCAGCCGCGGUAAUACGUAGGGUGCGAGCGUUGUCCGGAAUUAUUGGGCGUAAAGAGCUCGUAGGCGGCUCGUUGCGUCUACCGUGAAAACUGGAGGCUUAACCUUCAGCUUGCGGUGGAUACGGGCGGGCUUGAGUUCCGUAGGGGAGACUGGAAUUCCUGGUGUAGCGGCGAAAUGCGCAGAUAUCAGGAGGAACACCGGUGGCGAAGGCGGGUCUCUGGGCCGAUACUGACGCUGAGGAGCGAAAGCGUGGGGAGCGAACAGGAUUAGAUACCCUGGUAGUCCACGCUGUAAACGUUGGGCGCUAGGUGUGGGUGACAUCCACGUUGUCCGUGCCGUAGCUAACGCAUUCAGCGCCCCGCCUGGGAGUACGG
rnacentral:rRNA from 1 species